GUGAAAAUUAGGUUACCAUAAGAGAUUCAAUCGUAUAAGGAAACUGAGAUUCGGCCGCCCAAAAAACACUAUGCGACCGCAUGGUUAUUGUCAUUACGGUCGCAUGGUUAUGCACUUUCAGCCUCUUCAAUUCUCGGUAUAGGUGUGUGCGACCGCAUAGUAGAAAGGCAUGCGACCGCAUGAUUCCGCCAUACAGCUUUCAGUUUUUUAAUCAUAACUUUCUUUCCCGAUGUCCAAUUGAGGUGAUUCAAGUUGCAUUGGAUAG
rnacentral:lncRNA from 1 species